rnacentral:rRNA from 1 species
CCUACGGGAGGCAGCAGUGGGGAAUAUUGGGCAAUGGGCGCAAGCCUGACCCAGCAACGCCGCGUGAAGGAAGAAGGCUUACGGGUUGGAAACGUCUUUUUGCAGGGACGAAGAAAGUGACGGGACCGGAGGAAUAAGCAACGGCUAACGACGGGCCAGAAGCAGCGGUAAGACGUAGGUGGCAAGCGUUAUCCGGAUUUACUGGGUUUAAAGGGCGUGUAGGCGGGACGGGACGGCAGAUGUGAACUUCCCGGGCUCCCCCCUGGAACGGCAUUUGAAACGGUCGUUCUUGAGUGCUGGGGAGGCAGGCGCAAUUCCUUGUGUAGCGGUGCAAUGCGUAGAUAUCC